rnacentral:rRNA from 1 species
UACGGAGGGGGCUAGCGUUGUUCGGAAUUACUGGGCGUAAAGCGCACGUAGGCGGCUUUGUAAGUUAGAGGUGAAAGCCCAGGGCUUAACCCUGGAAUUGCCUUUAAGACUGCAUCGCUAGAAUCGUGGAGAGGUAAGUGGAAUUCCGAGUGUAGAGGUGAAAUUCGUAGAUAUUCGGAAGAACACCAGUGGCGAAGGCGACUUACUGGACACGUAUUGACGCUGAGGUGCGAAAGCGUGGGGAGCAAACAGGAUUAGAUACCCCGGUAGUCC